GAUGAACGCUGGCGGCGUGCCUAAUACAUGCAAGUCGAGCGAACGGACGAGAAGCUUGCUUCUCUGAUGUUAGCGGCGGACGGGUGAGUAACACGUGUAUAACCUACCUAUCAUACUGGGAUAACUUCGGGACACCGGAGCUUAUACCGUAUAAUCUUUUGCUCCGCAUGGUUCAAAAGUAAAAGACGGCCUUUCUGUCUCUUCUAGAUGGAUCCGCGCUGCAUGAGCUAGUAGGUAAGGUAACGGCUUACCAAGGCUACGAUGCAUAACCGACGUGAGAGAGGGAUCGGCCACACGGGAACUGAGACACGGUCCAGACGCCUACGGGAGGCAGCAGUAGGGAAUCGUCCGCAAUGGGCGAAAGCCUGACGGAGCAACGCCGCGUGAGUGAUGAAGGUCUUCGGAUCGUAAAACUCUGUUAUUAGGGAAGAACAUAUGUGGAAGUAACUGUGCACAUCUUGACGGUACCUAAUCAGAAAGCCACGGCUAACUACGUG
rnacentral:rRNA from 1 species